ensembl:lncRNA
UAUUUUUAAUGCUUUCUUUAUUAUAUCCAAGUCUUGAACAGAAAAAAAGAUGUAAACAUGAUAAAUAAAUAAGAAAUAAAAUGUAGAUUAUUCCCCCCACCUCUUAAAAUGUUUGACUUGGCCUUCCUAAUGAAAAUGAACCUGUAAGUGUCAUAAUAAUAAGAUCUCUUACAUUUCAGAAGUCUCAGAAUGAAAAAAUAAAACAACAAACAACCCCAACAACAAAAAGCAGAAAAGAAGGCAACAACCAAACAGCAGGAAUGUGAGUUGGGAGGAUGUUAAAUUAAUGGUGGGCAGAUCUGCUGGAGCAGGCACAAGACGGCUGCCUGCCAAUAAAUAAGAUACCAGGGAUGAGGGGGGGGGAGUGUCUUAGGUUUGCUUUCAUUUUGUUUUUCUUUUCAUUUGGGAUGAAGGCCAGGUGGAUCCUACAUACAGUAAGCAGCAAAAUUAAAGGUUCAGAUGAACUAAAUAGAUCAUUUAAAUAAUAAUUAUAAAAACACAACAGAGAGCUACUGUCCCCAGCGUGUUGGUCCCAAAUCCCAUCACACCACAAGCAGUUUGAGACUUACCCAGUCUCCACAACUAUGAGAAAGGAAUGGAUGAAGGCAAUGCCACAAACUAGGAAGGGGGAAGGAGGAACAAGGGCAAAUCUGGAAUGGCAAACAUCACCUGGAAGCUGAAUGUUUCCUUCAGUGCAGCUGCUGCUGCUCCUCCCAGUUUGGCAUUGAUUAAUUUAAGAUGUUGUUAAAGGCUUUGUUGGGCCAGUCACGAGGGGGUUGACCCAAUACCAGAUGAAAUUCUCUGGGCCUUUUUCCAUUGACUCCAGCAACUCUUGGUCAGACACUAGUUAUAAUAGCACCCGCAUCCCCAUUACAUGCAGAACAUGAAGAGUACAUUUAGGAAUUGGCAGGGAAGGUUCUCAUGGAAAAUACCAUUUUGGGGAUGAGGAAGACAGUAAUUUCCCAAAAAGCACACCAGUAAACCUGAAGAGAAGAAUGCAGAGUCAGAGGAGCUCAAGUUGUACCUGUCUGCGAGAAACUAAACAAAAGUAAGGCUGAUCCACAAAAUACAGAAGAGGCAGGAGACCAGCGAUCCCAACACAGAUAAUCCUCUGAGAGAUUUGAGGGACAAAACGGGCAGGCACAAGGUAUUCAGGGCUUUUUCCAGAUAGUAGAAAACAAUUCUCUUUUCCAGGCAGUUUCAAGUGGCUCCCAUUAGUAUCAUAGGACAGGAAAGGGGACCAUCCUGUCCCUGAGAAGGUCAAUGCCAAGGCAACAGGCAGUGGGCAAGGGCCAGCUGCAGAUCCUUAGUUCCUUCUGGCAAUGAUUCAGGCAUGAAAAGGUAGGUUUUUGUCAUUCUACUAGGAGUUAGGCUUAUUCGGGUUUGAGGAGGCACCUGACUUCCCAAGACUCCUAGUAGGAAUGCUCCUAAAUUCCCAGGAGACAGCAAUCCUGGUCAGCUAGCCUCAAAAGUAGCUGCAUCACUUUAGGAUUUAUCACUUGUCAAUGUUGCAUUCUGCUCAAAAAUCAGCAGAAAUGACAUGCAGAGCUAUUUUAUUGAGCAGUUUUAGAUUCUCAAUCCAGACUAGCACAAACAAGCUAUCUGGCAAAAUGGAGACAGUUAGAGAACAGCAGUUUCACCUAAAGUGAUGUUGCCUACAUAAACCCCUAUGAAAAUAGGACCCUUUCUGCUAACUAUGGGAAGUUUAAAGUCUACUUUAUUAAAAAGGAAGUUUUGAUGUUUGUAUAAGGACAAGAGAACUCCUUGAUCAAUUUUACUUAUUGUGUAAGCUUAAUUUGAAACCUCUAGCACUGGUAUAACGAUGGAAGUGUUUAAGCAAUAAAGAAAAAGCCUGAAUCCCAAUCAUCUUUAGGAAGCAAAAACAUCACUCAUAUUUUUCUAUUUCUGGCAGGUUUGGUAAAUACCUGUGUUUAAAAAUUAUGGUAAUAACAAAAAAAACCCAAAGCCUACCUUUAGAGCCAAAGUAGUGUCCCUUUGAAAUGAUUCAAGGAAUGGUCAGUGGCCAGGGUUUGAGGGAAACCAGCCCUGUUGAGUAAAGGUCCAGUUCCACAAAACUGAACCCUAUUAAUUCCCAGGAGAGUUGGUGGGGACUGCAGCAGUUUAGCAUCUCACAGGACUGGCCCGAUAAUUGCAUAUUUCAUUUCUUCAGGUCCAGCCUGACCAAGAAAUAUCCCAGGUUCAGCCGAUUAAAAAAAUAUAUAAAAGAACAAGAAAAUCUCACACCAAAAUAAAUAGCUGCCACCACAGCUUCAACAGGCAGGACCAAAGAGCUAUCCCCUAAGCGAUUUAGCUGGCAAGCUGAGCAAUCCUAGUGUGCAUGUGGUCAUGGUCUGACAUCAACAGGAGUUGAGCUUAGCUCCAUGCAUGAAUAGGUUAUACACAUUACUGUUUUCAGUAGUGAACAGCAGCGCUGGAGAGCUUGUGCCCUCUUUGAGCACUUAGUAGUAGCAGACAAGCCCACAGGUUGGAGAAGACAAGGACCCAGGGUGAGGGGAAGAGCCCUCUUAUUUGUUUUUUGUCUUCAGGCCAGUCAACCCCAACAAAACCAGAUCAAUUACAGCAUAAAAACCCAGAGGCCAAAGAUGAAGGUGCAAAUAAUAGUAACCUAUUUUCGUCUGCUGUUAUUUGUCAUUCAUAACCAGAGGUUGUUGGAAGCUCUGUCCUAGUUCAAAUAGGUCACCACUUCAACCAUGCCAUUCCUGCCUGGUCAGGAGCACCCUGUAGCCUGUGCUGUGCUGAAGGUUGGACCACUGCCUUCCCCCCAACCUUGGAAAUUGGGAAUCUCUGAGCAAACAACACCCACUAGUAUC